CAGGUGGCAUCGCCCUCUGACUCCCCCAGCUCCUCCUCCACCAACACCCCCAGCCCACCCUGUAUCAUCCUGCGCUGUCUGGCCCCCAGUGGGCAGCAUGUAGAGGAGGUAAAGUUACCAGAGCUAGCCUACACCUCCCUGUUCACCAUGGCCUGGCUCCACUCAGUCAACAGGGAACGGAGUGGAGCAGGAACGGAGACAGGGUCUGGGACAGGGCUUGGGACAGGGCUUGGGACAGGGCUUGGGACAGGGACAGGGUCUGGGACAGGGUCGGG